rnacentral:lncRNA from 1 species
CGCCUCCUUCACACCCCUCCCAUGGCCCCUGCAUCGGCCACUGUGUGCCAGGUCUGAGUUCACACAGACUUCUGGCUUCUGUGAACCCAGGACGGAAGACUUGAACUUCUCAGCUCCAAUCUGCUGGGCUAACUCAGAGGUGGCUUUUUUGGUUCAUGAUGUCUCUUUGUAGAGAUGUGGCUUCUUUUAUGCAGCUGCCGGGACCCACAUUUUAAACCUGGUGGAUUUUCUGGGGUGGGGGGGAGGGUAAUAGAAGACUAUUUUCCAGGAACCCUUUUAAAUGUCCUGGGAAAAGCCAUCAAUUGAAAAAGCAUUCCUGUGCUUGGGUGGAUCUUCUGGGCAACCCCAGCAAAUCACUCUCACUUGGGCUUCCUCUUUUCAGUCGGAGGACACAGGAAUUAGCAGAUUUCCAAGGCUGCUUCCAGCUCAGAUAUUUUAGCUCUGUGACUCUUACUCCUUUGUUUGGAAAGGUUACAUAUCUCUUGGUUUUCUUAAAAUUAGGUAAGAAGAGAAUUGAAGAAGGCUUUAAAAUGUCCCCCCAAAAUAGCAGGUCCUAAACCCUGGAACCUGUAAAUGUUACCUUCUUUGAGAGAGAAGGUAAUUUUUUUUUUUUUGGCUGCAUCCAUAGCAUGCGGAAGUUCCCAGGCUAGGGGUCCAAUCGGAACUGUAGUCUCCGGCCUACGCCAGAGCCACAGCAACGCGAGAUCCGAGCCGCGUCUGCAACCUACACCACAGCUCACGGCAACGCCGGAUCGUUAACCCACUGAGCAAGGGCAGGGACCGAACCCGCAACCUCAUGGUUCCUAGUCGGAUUCGUUAACCACUGCGCCACAACGGGAACUCCUUGUUAUUCUUUUUUGAUAGAGCAUUUAUAUUUAUCAAGAUGACUCCGGUUAUGCUAUUUCUAUGAAAAGCUCCCAGUCCCUGUGGUCUCACUAACAACGGUUUACUUCAUACUCAUGGACACAUUCAUCUGUGGUUGGUAUGUGUGUGUGUGAGCAGGGAGGCCCCUUGCCCCAUCUUAUACGCCGGGACUCAGGCAGGUCCCACCCCCCCCUGCCAUGUCAGAGUUUACACUGGCUGCAGAAAGUUACCUGGGGAGUCCCAGACUGGCUCUUGAAGGCUUUUGCUCACAGUUCGUGGGCCAGCGCUGGUCCCGCGGGCACUGUUCCCUUCCAGGAGCUGGGAGAGGUCAGUGUGUCGGGGACAAGAGGAAGCAGAGGGUUCCUGGUGGCCUGAAGGACCCCCGUGCUAUUCUGACCAACUUCCCUUUUGAAUGUCUAAGCUCGAGGCUGUAACAAAGCUGUGCCUUUGAAAGAAGAGCUUGAGAAGCUGGCUGAAAUAUGAAUGACAAGCAACCAUCUGACCUCUAGAAGAAGUUAUAGGAAAGCUACGUCCACCAGCCAUAAGGUCAAGUAGAUCUAUGGCGCUGGGCCGAUUGCCUAGACCCCUUUGUAGCUCCCAAGGGCGCACCUCAUGCUGUCGCAGCUCAAGUGAAAUUUAGUGCUGCACAGUUCCUUUGCCAGGCACCGUGCCAAGGUCGAGGAUACAUGAUUAACUGGGAUCAUUAAGAAAAAUUUAGAAUAUAUUUAUUAUAUUGAUCAUAAGACCAGGGAAGCGUCUUUUCCCUUAGUUAAAACGAAAUGUUUUAGCAAUAAAAGCAGUGAGACUUUCGUUACCUACAAAAGUCACUUAAAUGUUACCUAGGGAAUUGGUGCUGUAAAUAGUUUUCCAUUUUCUUCCUGUGUAGUUGGUAAGUGCUUGAUCCUUUGGACAAUCUUCCAGUCUCCCUUGUUCUUAAUUUCCUCUUGUUCAUCAGGCUCAUGAUUUUUGAGCAUCUCCAGUAGUGCACUGAAAAUUAGGCUACUCUGAUACAAGCGUAUAUGUGAGCACACACAUGCACGCACGCACACACACACACACACACACACACUCACUCACACCUUUCUGCUGGGAGAAAUAGGGGCUUCAGCAAACAGAAGGUCGUUGGUUGGGGUCAGAGAGGGUACCUGGCAUUGUUUUGGUCAAGCCUUACCUGUUAUCUUUGCUCUUUGCUCCCCAUACACUCUCAGGCAUCCUUUAUGCAGGUGGCUGGAAAGAAAACUUCCUAAAUAUCUUUGGCUCGCUUUCCUGGAGAUCUUCCUACUUAAUCGGCCAAACAGAUAUUUAUCAGACAUGGUUUUUAACCCCCGGGCAUGGUGAGGAAGCAACAAGAAGGGUCAGGUAUGGCCCUAGCACUCCGGGAGCUUACAGUUUGGAGGUGGGGAGAGAAACUGCUAGGUCCCUGCAAGGUGCCAGGCACUGUCCCCUGCCUGUUCUGGAUGCAGCAUCAGACUUAAGCCUACAAUAGCCCUUACCAGCUGUUGGGUUUUUUUGGUCAUUGUUUUUUCUCCUUGAUGAUGUAGGGAUUGAGACUAGGAGAAGACUAAUGACUUUGUCAUGCCUACGUAGUUAAUGGCAGCAUUUAUAUGGAGCUAGGAUUCUUUUUUAAAAAAUUGCUAUGGGAGUUCCCAUUGUGGCACAGUGGAAAUGC